rnacentral:lncRNA from 1 species
UGAGAUCUUUCGAGAUUUCAAGGCUUCUUAGGACUUAUCUUUUAAUUUCUUACUGUCAAUUCUUUCUUUAUUUCUACUUGUGCUGAAUCAUUAUCUAAUCUAUUUUCUGUUCUUAUUGUGUUUUCAGCCUUUUUCUAUCUUAAGGAAUCAGCCCAAAAAUCCUCAAUUUCUAGGGUUUUUCCAUACUCUUUUUGGGUGAAAUUAGAUUGUCAAAAUUUGGGGAAAACUAUCUUGGUGUUCAAUUGGGCAGAAUCACAAUCUCCUUGAGGGUUUCAAGAACCCUAACACUUAUUUCUAUUCUCAAUUUGAUUCUUUGCUGAUUUGGGGAUUUUAUUUCAGAUCUGAAAAUUCAAAAAUCUAAUCUUUUAAUUUUCUGUUUCGUUUCAGAUCUAAUUG